GUUUUUAUUUAUAUUACUUGAAAAUUUUUCUUUUUUAAAAACAAUUUCCUGAUAUGAGUUUUGUUGUUUUUGAUGGUCUAGUUUGUUGCUUAGUUGUGCUUAACAUUUUGUUAGUUAGUUUAGGUGGGUGAGUUGGGUAUCCAUCAAAUUGGGUGAUCUUUUCCAUUUUUCUGCAUAAUUUUUCCCAAUUCCUUGUUUGAUAUCGUUAUAAGGUAACCAAGUUUUGG
rnacentral:misc_RNA from 1 species